UGUCUGAAUGGGAAGAAUGGGGAGGGCUAGGGAAGGAGAUUAAACCUGAGAAACCAGCUGGAGCUGAUGCAGUGGUCCAGGGGCCCCAGGAAACAAUCUCUACAUGUGGCACUCGACUCUGAAAACAACAGGUCAAAUGUCCUGAUACUUCGUGGAUGAUGCCACCGCAGACAUAGGAGACAGACACUGCUUCAAGAGAGGAUUUGAGUGAACUUGGAGGACAUUUGAAAAUGACCAAAAAAUAUAAUGAGAAGAAAUUAGCCUGACUAGGGUGGGAGCAGGAAGAAGAAAUGUAUCUUCUUUGAAAGAGCCUUGCAAGUAAGUACAACAUCUACUAGCCCAAAGAAUUUUUACCAGCCCAGACCUCCCCUCAUAGCUUCCCAGAGAGGAAAGUGAGUAAAAACGAUUUUAGAAAACUGUUAUAUUACACAAAGAUGAAAUCAUAUCUAUCACAUUAAUAUAGUAUACUAUUAAAAUGUUAGAUAUAAUCUUAUAAUAGAAACACAUUUUUCCAAACAAGUGUUUUUCCAGUUGUCCCCACAUGAAGGGCCUAGGAGGGGCUCUGAG
rnacentral:lncRNA from 1 species